CUCCUCUCAGGAUUGCACCUGGGGAGUUUCCUAUACUCUACUAGUCUCGGCUAUGGAAGGGAGAGUCAAGCAGAGGCAUAGCCAUUCCAUUCCUAGCUUGGGCCGGGGCUAGAGAGUGGAAGGCAAUCUGCUUCAAGU
rnacentral:snoRNA from 1 species